GCAUUAAUGGGGUAGUGGUAACCUGGGUCGUUGCCAUCGAAUAAUGAAAAGAUUCGACCCGCCGGGAGUUCGAUUCUCUCUUAAUGCA